rnacentral:ncRNA from 1 species
CUACCCUCUGGCCGUCGCUGUAAAUCCAGCGAUCAGGUUUGGUAGGCCUGGGGU